GAUUUCUGGUUCGGGCCAAUAGGCUUGUGAGUGCCGGCGCGCGUUUACCAUCCUUCUAGAAAACGAAUUAGCAUGGAAUAAUAAUCUAGGACUUCGGUUCUAUUUUGUUGGUUUCUAUAACUGAAGUAAUGAUUGAUAGGGAUAGUUGGGGGUGCUAGUAUUGGCCGGCCAGAGGUGAAAUUCUUGGAUUCGGUCAAGACUAACUUAUGCGAAAGCAUUCACCAAGGAUGUCUUCUUCUGUCUCUUAUACAC
rnacentral:rRNA from 1 species